GCAAUGGUGGUUCAGCGGUAGAAUUCUAGCCUUCCAUGAGGGAGACUCAGGUUCAAUUCCUGGCCAGUGCA
rnacentral:tRNA from 1 species